rnacentral:rRNA from 1 species
GACGAACGCUGGCGGCGUGCUUAACACAUGCAAGUCGAACGGAAAGGCCCUGCUUUUGUGGGGUGCUCGAGUGGCGAACGGGUGAGUAACACGUGAGUAACCUGCCCUUGAUUUUGGGAUAACUUCAGGAAACUGGGGCUAAUACCGUAUAGGAGAUCCUGCUGCAUGGGGGGGGUUGGAAAGUUUCGGCGGUUGGGGAGGGACUGCCGGUUUGUUUGUUUGUUGGGGGGGUAGUGGCUUACAAAGGCUUGGAUGGGUGGCCGGCCUGGGGGGGUGACCGGCCACAUGGGGACUGGAAUACGGCCCGAACCCCAACGGGGGGCAGCGGGGGGAAUUAUGGCACAAGGGGCGGAGCCUGAUGGCGGCAAGGCGGGGGGCGGAUGAACGGCUUUCGGUUGGAAACCCGUUUCGGCCGGGGAGGAAGCUUUUGUGACGGUAAUGAGUAAAGAAGCACCGGCUAACUACGUG